rnacentral:rRNA from 1 species
ACGAACGCUGGCGGCGUGCUUAACACCUGCAAGUCGAACGGAAAGGCCCUGCUUUUGUGGGGUGCUCGAGUGGCGAACGGGUGAGUAACACGUGAGUAACCUGCCCUUGACUUUGGGAUAACUUCAGGAAACUGGGGCUAAUACCGGAUAGGAGCUCCUGCUGCAUGGUGGGGGUUGGAAAGUUUCGGCGGUUGGGGAUGGACUCGCGGCUUAUCAGCUUGUUGGUGGGGGAGUGGCUUACCAAGGCUUUGACGGGUAGCCGGCCUGAGAGGGUGACCGGCCACAUUGGGACUGAGAUACGGCCCAGACUCCUACGGGAGGCAGCAGUGGGGAAUAUUGCACAAUGGGCGGAAGCCUGAUGCAGCAACGCCGCGUGCGGGAUGACGGCCUUCGGGUUGUAAACCGCUUUCGCCUGUGACGAAGCGUGAGUGACGGUAAUGGGUAAAGAAGCACCGGCUAACUACGUG